rnacentral:rRNA from 2 species
GGUUAAGCGACUAAGCGUACACGGUGGAUGCCCUGGCAGUCAGAGGCGAUGAAGGACGUGCUAAUCUGCGAUAAGCGUCGGUAAGGUGAUAUGAACCGUUAUAACCGGCGAUUUCCGAAUGGGGAAACCCAGUGUGUUUCGACACACUAUCAUUAACUGAAUCCAUAGGUUAAUGAGGCGAACCGGGGGAACUGAAACAUCUAAGUACCCCGAGGAAAAGAAAUCAACCGAGAUUCCCCCAGUAGCGGCGAGCGAACGGGGAGGAGCCCAGAGCCUGAAUCAGUGUGUGUGUUAGUGGAAGCGUCUGGAAAGGCGCGCGAUACAGGGUGACAGCCCCGUACACAAAAAUGCACAUGCUGUGAGCUCGAUGAGUAGGGCGGGACACGUGGUAUCCUGUCUGAAUAUGGGGGGACCAUCCUCCAAGGCUAAAUACUCCUGACUGACCGAUAGUGAACCAGUACCGUGAGGGAAAGGCGAAAAGAACCCCGGCGAGGGGAGUGAAAAAGAACCUGAAACCGUGUACGUACAAGCAGUGGGAGCACAGAGCAAUCUGUGUGACUGCGUACCUUUUGUAUAAUGGGUCAGCGACUUAUAUUCUGUAGCAAGGUUAACCGAAUAGGGGAGCCGAAGGGAAACCGAGUCUUAACUGGGCGUUAAGUUGCAGGGUAUAGACCCGAAACCCGGUGAUCUAGCCAUGGGCAGGUUGAAGGUUGGGUAACACUAACUGGAGGACCGAACCGACUAAUGUUGAAAAAUUAGCGGAUGACUUGUGGCUGGGGGUGAAAGGCCAAUCAAACCGGGAGAUAGCUGGUUCUCCCCGAAAGCUAUUUAGGUAGCGCCUCGUGAAUUCAUCUCCGGGGGUAGAGCACUGUUUCGGCAAGGGGGUCAUCCCGACUUACCAACCCGAUGCAAACUGCGAAUACCGGAGAAUGUUAUCACGGGAGACACACGGCGGGUGCUAACGUCCGUCGUGAAGAGGGAAACAACCCAGACCGCCAGCUAAGGUCCCAAAGUCAUGGUUAAGUGGGAAACGAUGUGGGAAGGCCCAGACAGCCAGGAUGUUGGCUUAGAAGCAGCCAUCAUUUAAAGAAAGCGUAAUAGCUCACUGGUCGAGUCGGCCUGCGCGGAAGAUGUAACGGGGCUAAACCAUGCACCGAAGCUGCGGCAGCGACGCUGAUGCGUUGUUGGGUAGGGGAGCGUUCUGUAAGCCUGUGAAGGUGUGCUGUGAGGCAUGCUGGAGGUAUCAGAAGUGCGAAUGCUGACAUAAGUAACGAUAAAGCGGGUGAAAAGCCCGCUCGCCGGAAGACCAAGGGUUCCUGUCCAACGUUAAUCGGGGCAGGGUGAGUCGACCCCUAAGGCGAGGCCGAAAGGCGUAGUCGAUGGGAAACAGGUUAAUAUUCCUGUACUUGGUGUUACUGCGAAGGGGGGACGGAGAAGGCUAUGUUGGCCGGGCGACGGUUGUCCCGGUUUAAGCGUGUAGGCUGGUUUUCCAGGCAAAUCCGGAAAACUAAGGCUGAGGCGUGAUGACGAGGCACUACGGUGCUGAAGCAACAAAUGCCCUGCUUCCAGGAAAAGCCUCUAAGCAUCAGGUAACAUCAAAUCGUACCCCAAACCGACACAGGUGGUCAGGUAGAGAAUACCAAGGCGCUUGAGAGAACUCGGGUGAAGGAACUAGGCAAAAUGGUGCCGUAACUUCGGGAGAAGGCACGCUGAUAUGUAGGUGAAGUCCCUCGCGGAUGGAGCUGAAAUCAGUCGAAGAUACCAGCUGGCUGCAACUGUUUAUUAAAAACACAGCACUGUGCAAACACGAAAGUGGACGUAUACGGUGUGACGCCUGCCCGGUGCCGGAAGGUUAAUUGAUGGGGUCAGCGCAAGCGAAGCUCUUGAUCGAAGCCCCGGUAAACGGCGGCCGUAACUAUAACGGUCCUAAGGUAGCGAAAUUCCUUGUCGGGUAAGUUCCGACCUGCACGAAUGGCGUAAUGAUGGCCAGGCUGUCUCCACCCGAGACUCAGUGAAAUUGAACUCGCUGUGAAGAUGCAGUGUACCCGCGGCAAGACGGAAAGACCCCGUGAACCUUUACUAUAGCUUGACACUGAACAUUGAGCCUUGAUGUGUAGGAUAGGUGGGAGGCUUUGAAGUGUGGACGCCAGUCUGCAUGGAGCCGACCUUGAAAUACCACCCUUUAAUGUUUGAUGUUCUAACGUUGACCCGUAAUCCGGGUUGCGGACAGUGUCUGGUGGGUAGUUUGACUGGGGCGGUCUCCUCCUAAAGAGUAACGGAGGAGCACGAAGGUUGGCUAAUCCUGGUCGGACAUCAGGAGGUUAGUGCAAUGGCAUAAGCCAGCUUGACUGCGAGCGUGACGGCGCGAGCAGGUGCGAAAGCAGGUCAUAGUGAUCCGGUGGUUCUGAAUGGAAGGGCCAUCGCUCAACGGAUAAAAGGUACUCCGGGGAUAACAGGCUGAUACCGCCCAAGAGUUCAUAUCGACGGCGGUGUUUGGCACCUCGAUGUCGGCUCAUCACAUCCUGGGGCUGAAGUAGGUCCCAAGGGUAUGGCUGUUCGCCAUUUAAAGUGGUACGCGAGCUGGGUUUAGAACGUCGUGAGACAGUUCGGUCCCUAUCUGCCGUGGGCGCUGGAGAACUGAGGGGGGCUGCUCCUAGUACGAGAGGACCGGAGUGGACGCAUCACUGGUGUUCGGGUUGUCAUGCCAAUGGCACUGCCCGGUAGCUAAAUGCGGAAGAGAUAAGUGCUGAAAGCAUCUAAGCACGAAACUUGCCCCGAGAUGAGUUCUCCCUGACUCCUUGAGAGUCCUGAAGGAACGUUGAAGACGACGACGUUGAUAGGCCGGAUGUGUAAGCGCAGCGAUGCGUUGAGCUAACCGGUACUAAUGAACCGUGAGGCUUAACCUU